rnacentral:lncRNA from 1 species
CCCCAUGUUCUGCCUUGAGGUAACAAAUUAACAAAUAAAUGAAUAAAUAAGGUAAUACACUUGGCUGUCCUCAGAGGUUUCCUCUUGUAGCCUACUUUGUUCACUGAAAGUGGGGGGAUGGGUUACUGUUUGAUGCUCAAAAUCCCCAGACUAAUUUGAAGUGCAGAGACCCCAAACACCAGGACAGCGUCUGUACACCAGAGUACAGAACUCUCUCAGAGCUGCUCCGAGAGAUCUACUUCGAGAUCUGCUCUGAAACUUUUGCAACGUUAUUGGACAUUUUGUUACAUCUAUUAUUUUGUUGAUGAGUGCUCCAAUUUAGAAAAUGGAGAAAACAGGAGGGGGAAAGGAAAGCCUUCAUGUGUGGUGGCUAGCUAGCUACUCUGCAGCAGCAGCUACAGGUUCUGUUUGUGAUGUUAGGCUAACUUUAUCUACUCUAUAACCGUCCAGGUGGAGCUGCUGGAGAAGGGACAUCUGGUCUCUGUUCCACACCUCUCCCCUCUACGGAGCUUCCUGCAGGUCUAGAGACAUCCAUCCCUCCAGCUCCCUCCAGUGAAACACAGCCUGCAGGUCUAGAGACAUCCAUCCCACCAGCUCCCUCCAGUGAAACACAGCCUGCAGGUCUAGAGACAUCCAUCCCUCCAGCUCCCUCCAGUGAAACACAGCCUGCAGGUCUAGAGACAUCCAUCCCUCCAGCUCCCUCCAGCGAAACACAGCCUGCAGGUCUAGAGACAUCCAUCCCUCCAGCUCCCUCCAGUGAAAAACAGCCUGCAGGUCUAGAGACAUCCAUCCCUCCAGCUCCCUCCAGUGAAACACAGCCUGCAGGUCUAGAGACAUCCAUCCCUCCAGCUCCCUCCAGUGGAACACAGCCUGCAGGUCUAGAGACAUCCAUCCCUCCAGCUCCCUCCAGUGAAACACAGCCUGCAGGUCUAGAGACAUCCAUCCCUCCAGCUCCCUCCACUGAAACACAGCCUGCUGAAGAAACUACACCACUAAUGUCCAGUGAAUCUCCUGCACCAACCGGGGACCAACAAGAACACACUUCAAGAACAAGUACCCCUGAUGUAACUAUGGAUGGUCAUGAUGAUGACCAGAGUCUGGAUGCCCUCGCCUACCGGUCUGGUACUGGACAGCUAGACAUUGAGAUGGGUCCAGUCCAAAAGCUGCCCAAAGAACGUAACAGGAUUCUUUAA